UAAUUUAUCCAAAUAAUUGCA
rnacentral:piRNA from 1 species